UACGUAGGGGGCAAGCGUUGUCCGGAAUUAUUGGGCGUAAAGCGCGCGCAGGCGGUUUCUUAAGUCUGGGGUUUAAGUUCGGGGCUCAACCCCGUAUCGCCCUGGAAACUGGGGAACUGGAGUGUAGGAGAGGAAAGUGGAAUUCCACGUGUAGCGGUGAAAUGCGUAGAGAUGUGGAGGAACACCAGUGGCGAAGGCGACUUUCUGGCCUAUAACUGACGAUGAGGCGCGAAAGCGUGGGGAGCAAACAGG
rnacentral:rRNA from 1 species